UACAUAGGUCGCAAGCGUUGUUCGGAAUUACUGGGCGUAAAGGGCUCGUAGGCGGCCAACUAAGUCGGACGUGAAAUCCCCAGGCUCAACCUGGGAACUGCGUCCGAUACUGGAUGGCUUGAAUCCGGGAGAGGGAUGCAGAAUUCCAGGUGUAGCGGUGAAAUGCGUAGAUAUCUGGAGGAAUACCGGUGGCGAAGGCGGCAUCCUGGACCGGCAUUGACGCUGAGGAGCGAAAGCCAGGGGAGCAAACGGG
rnacentral:rRNA from 1 species